rnacentral:lncRNA from 1 species
AGAUAUUGCAAACAGGUUUAAAGAUGACAAGGUAAAUUAUUUAUUCAUUACAAAACUAUUUUCUAAAUUUUCACCUAUUUUCAGUCGAUUUACUACCACAAAGAUCCUAUUACCUUGAGACCAGCAGGCCGCUUGUACGAUAAAUAUUACAACACAUUGAAGAGAUUGAGGAAAUCCGGUGAAUUAGUGGACCCAGAAAGUUCAACUCCUGAGGCAUCACCGACAGAAGAAUAUACAUUUACUUUCGAGGAUGAAAAAUCUGCCUAUGACUGGCUCAAACUUUUUGAUUCGCCGUGGAGCACAGUUGAAGCAAAUUGGAAAAAACCUUCAAAAUCAGACGACAAGAAAUUUUGAACUCAAGUGGUAGCACAUCAGCGAAAACUUUACGGGCCUGGAAACUUUUUUCCCAUUCAUGUGGAUACAAUCUGAUUGAUAUUGACUUCAAUGCUCUACAUCAGAAUUGCUCACAGCUAACAGAGAAAUGGCAAGGUUUUAGAACAAAAAU